ensembl:lncRNA LINC03015 long intergenic non-protein coding RNA 3015
CAGGCGCAGACGCAGGGCGGGCAAUGGCCGCCUGGGUCUCUCGGGCAGCCCUGCCCACCUCUCUCGCGUCUCCUGGUCUUGGCCUGCGGCUCUCUUUCUGGCAGGUGCCGCGGCGUCUCCUGCGGGCCUGACCGUGUUCUCCCGCCUAGCCAGGCUCUUCUGCGCUCCUUUUUUGUUGAGAUUUUUCCAUCCCCUGCACAGGAAGUGUCCUUUAAUUACUCCAGUGUUUUUUUAGUUACUUUUUAAGAAACAUUUUGGACUUUUCGAUACAGAAUAGUGUCAAAAAAAAAAUUUAACCUUCUUCAGGUUAUAUUUUAGUGAAUGAUAUUAAUAUAUGUUCCAAAGUUGUAUGGGAUUUCUAAAAUUCUAAUUUUUCUGAGUAUAUGCUACCGAUCAUAAUUAUGGUUAUGUUGUUGUUAUAACCAAAUUUCUUUGUCAAUUGUGUCUUUUUGAGUAUUUAAAGUCAUUUCCGCAGUUAAUUGCUUCAUGCUGAUGUAGUUUCUGAAAACUUCACAAGCACACAAAAAUCCUAGAACAUGGUGUCUUUUAGGAGGUUCGUGAACGGAUGGGGAGGACCCUGAAAAGCACUGUGGAAUACAGGUUUCUAGUAACUUCAAAAUCACAUCAUUUGGACUGGCUUCUUUGGGAUGUCCGCUCUGCAUAUCUACUAAGGAAUUAAGAAAUAAUGGCUUCAGCAAGAAACAAGGCAGGAAAGUGCAGUGACAUGAGGACCAUACAGGGAAGGAGCUGUCCCCAAAGCACGAUGAGCCACUUGAGGCCAGGUACAGCCAUGGCGUGUAUCCCAGAGCACCUGUGAGAAUGUCUCACAGACAGUCCGUCUCUCCUGAAUAUGAAGGGAUGGGCACCAGCCGGAGCCACCAUCCGUGUGACUGGCCCGUGGCCGCCUCCAGCUCACACAGAACCUCUGCACGCAACGGAAAAAGGUCUCCCCUGGGUGAAUGGGGUGGGAAACGUGUGCCCCUCCAGGCGGCUGGUGAGCAGAGUGCUCCCCUCGGCAGGGUGUGACUUGUACAGCUCCACCACGGGCCCUGUAACAAGACAGGCUUCGACCCUGCCCUCUUGCAGCUCGUAUGUAUGAGGGGCAGCCCAAUAAAUAAAUAAGCAAA